rnacentral:rRNA from 1 species
UGAGGAAUAUUGGUCAAUGGGCGCAAGCCUGAACCAGCCAUCCCGCGUGAAGGAAGAAGGCGCUAUGCGUUGUAAACUUCCUUUCCAGGGGGAGAAUUUUUCCGUCGUGACGGGAAUUGACGGUACUCUGGGAAUAAGCAUCGGCUAACUCCGUGCCAGCCGCCGCGGUAAUACGGAGGAUGCGAGCGUUAUCCGGAUUUAUUGGGUUUAAAGGGUGCGUAGGCGGAUUGGUAAGUCAGUGGUGAAAGGCUGCAGCUUAACUGUAGACUUGCCGUUGAUACUGUCAGUCGUGAGUAUGGUCAAGGAGGGCGGAAGGUGUAGUGUAGCGGUGAAAUGCUUAGAUAUUACACAGAACACCGAUUGCGAAGGCAGCUGGCUGGGCCAUCACUGACGCUCAUGC